GAUGAACGCUGGCGGCGUGCCUAAUACAUGCAAGUCGAGCGAACAGAUGAGGAGCUUGCUCCUCUGACGUUAGCGGCGGACGGGUGAGUAACACGUGGAUAACCUACCUAUAAGACUGGGAUAACUUCGGGAGACCGGAGCUAAUACCGGAUAAUAUAUUGAACCGCAUGGUUCAAUAGUGAAAGACGGUUUUGCUGUCACUUAUAGAUGGAUCCGCGCCGCAUUAGCUAGUUGGUAAGGUAACGGCUUACCAAGGCAACGAUGCGUAGCCGACCUGAGAGGGUGAUCGGCCACACUGGAACUGAGACACGGUCCAGACUCCUACGGGAGGCAGCAGUAGGGACUCUUCCGCAAUGGGCGAAAGCCUGACGGAGCAACGCCGCGUGAGGGCUGAAGGUCUUCGGAUCGUAAAACUCUGUUAUUAGGGAAGAACAAAUGUGUAAGUAACUAUGCACGUCUUGACGGUACCUAAUCAGAAAGCCACGGCUAACUACGUG
rnacentral:rRNA from 1 species